rnacentral:rRNA from 1 species
UACGAGGGGGGCAAGCGUUGUUCGGAAUUAUUGGGCGUAAAGGGCGCGUAGGCGGUGCGGUAAGUCACCUGUGAAAACUCUGGGCUCAACUCAGAGCCUGCAGGCGAAACUGCCGUGCUUGAGUGUGGGAGAGGUGCGUGGAAUUCCCGGUGUGGCGGUGAAAUGCGUAGGUAUCGGGAGGAACACCUGUGGCGAAAGCGGCGCACUGGACCACAACUGACGCUGAGGCGCGAAAGCUAGGGGAGCAAACAGG